UAUAUAUUUAGCUCCUUGAUUGCUAUAGCAGCACAUUAUCCCACCCUCAUAUCCCAGGCACUGUCUCCAGCUAAAAAAACUUGUUGAAGAAAAUGAAAGUAAAAGCUGUCGUCAAGACAAUUUAUUGAGGAAAUCAUUAAAGAAAUUAGAAGAGUCUGUCACUGUGCCAAGAAAUUAACUUAAGAUUUAACAAGACAUAUUAUCCUUUUCAUGCAACUAUUGCUGUUUAUUUUUAAGUAGCUAGAAAUAGCAAUUUUACUCACCUCAAA